rnacentral:lncRNA from 1 species
GGCUGGGCUAUGCAUGGUACCACGUGCUUUUAAUCCCAGCACUUAGGAGGCAGAGGCAGGUGGAUCUCUGAGUUCAAGUCCAGCCUGGUCUACAGAGUGAGCUCCAGGGCAGCAGAGCAACAUAGGGAGACCUUGCUUCUGACUGACGUUCUGUAGGAACGGGACCAAGGGAGCCCCUCUGGGCCAGGAAGAUAAAAGAUGUCAUGAAUGUCCUAGGAACUCAGCUAUUGAUACACAGUUCAGAUGGACUAGCAGUGCUGUCCCAGUAAAGCACUGGGAUAAGAGGGAAGGAGAGGAGAGAGGAACCACCUGGGUUAGCAGUGAUGCUUGGCCAAGUCAUUCCAGGACCCCACUUUUGGCAGCCAUUUCAAGUUCUACUUAGGAGGCCUAAACUUGGUGUUAGGCAUUGUAUCCAACCCAUCCCUGUAAAAAUUCCCACCACCACCUUCAACCAAAAGCAUGGUCACAGGACCUUCUGAUAUAAAUGAUCCCUUUUAUUGUUAAGUAAUGCACUGGCCUGGCUUUGCACUGCAAGCCCUCAGUCACGAUAUAGUCAAUAACUAUGCCUGCAGGUUCUUCUGCACAAUCCACAAUUCAGACGCACACAGAGCUGGGUGAGUGGGAGGGGCAGGAGGGUGGCGGGCGGCAUGCACCUGACCCAGGCCUGGCCCUUCCAUAUGGGGUUGGCAAAGGCAGAUAAACCCCAUGGAAUGAAGAACAAAUGGUGGCACAGAAUCUUUGCACAGCAAGCCAAGGGCUGCUAGGAAACUGUCCUUCAUAACCUUUGGGUCCAGGCCAUCCUGGAGGCCCACAAUUCUCUUUUAAAUUUGUUAAUAAGAGAAAAUAAAUUAAUAGCUUUGGUCCUGAGGAUGCUGAACCAGCAUGUCCACAGUUUUUGGCACAAAAAAAAAGGGUCUUUUUUUUUUUCCUUUGGAGUGCAGGAUUUGUUGACUUACUUUUAAGUUCACUUUAGAAACAUUCCCUAUGAGGUAAUAAGCUCCCCCAAGGGGAGGAAUGGGGGAGGAGCUCUGUGAGAGCCUGAACCUGUGACAAGCAGAGUUGUCUCAUCUAACAUCUUGUCAGCCCACCAAGCUCUAUUUCCUCUAGGUUUGGGGGUGUGGAUAGGGAUAGGCUAAGGGGUGCUACAUAGCCAGCAGGAUGGGGUCAUGGAGAGGCCGAGCUGCCUUUUGGCAGCUUUGGUCUAGAAGAGGGGGCCAGUCCCUACUUUGGGCAAAGGCUGAGGUGGAAGCAGGACUUUGCUCACUGGCUUCAGAGCAGUUAGAGAGUGGCCUAACAGACCCCCAAGGGAAAGGAAAUAAAACAAAGGGGCCCAGGCCCAAUUGGCACCGUGCAACACACAUAUCUGCAAAACCAGCUGCUUUCAAUUUCUGUUCUCUCUUCAGGAGUCCAUCACCGGUAACAGUCUAGAAUUGAUAUAUAUAAAAACCAUCAAAUAUGGAUC